rfam:Paenibacillus sp. oral taxon 786 str. D14 genomic scaffold supercont1.2, whole genome shotgun sequence.
UGACCACUUUCCUUCGGGAAAGUUAAGGCCAUACGGACAGCCGGGUCAAAUGCCGA